GCAUCUAUGGUCCAGCGGUAGGAUAUUUGCCUUCCAUUAUCGGCGAGCAAAUGGCUCGGGUUCGACUCCCGGUGGAUGCA